CUUUAUUGCUGCCAUUGUCCAUGUCAGAUAUUGUUAGCAUUUCCCCGUGCUAACAGUUAGCUUAUGCCACGUGAAAGUGUUGUAGGGGAAAAUGUCGGUGUUUGCGCUGCAGCCUCGAUACUCUCAUGUUGACAACUUUUUCCUGAAACCGGUUUUGUAGCUUUCUUACUGUGUAACUGUUGUCGUGUCGACAGGUGCAUGUUGACUGAGUGUAAAAUUGGGUCUCUGCCACAGGUUAUUAUGUUUAUGGAUAUAACAUGACUUGUGAGCACGCUUCGUAUUCGUAUAACAGGUGAAACUAACAUUUUAAAUGGAUGCAUCUCAUCUAUCUCACCGUGCUACGUCGAGGACUGCAGUAUUAUGCAUGUUAGCUCAGUGGCAUAAUUGGUACACCAAUACCACUGAGCAGUCAUUUAAGUUAUAAGCUACACCUGUGCUAGCCCUAGCUUGUAGCCAACACGCAGGGCCACCGACAUGGGAACAUAUAAAAGAUGCUGCUAAUACACCGGUAUGCCACCAUACAGUCUAUGCCACUCCUGUAGCUCAAGUACAGUAUCAACGUGAGACUGUCAAACCAACACCGCCCCCUGAUGAAUAUGCAAAAUUGGAUUACAACAUGGACAUCAGAGCCAAUGGUAAAUUACCAAAGAUGACGCACACCGAUCAGCUGAUCAUCUUAGGAGCCAGGCUGUGAACUGCUGAGAUGAUCUGCGCACUCAACCACCAGGCAGAAUGAGACUGAGAAGAACUGAACCGAAGAAUCCUCUUACCUAAGUGAGAUGCUGGGGUGAGGAAGUUUCCGGGAUGGUGGGGCGGAUGGCUG